UACGUAGGGUGCGAGCGUUAAUCGGAAUUACUGGGCGUAAAGGGUGCGCAGGCGGCUUCGCAAGUCAGGCGUGAAAUCCCCGGGCUUAACCUGGGAAUUGCGCUUGAAACUACGGAGCUGGAGUAUGGCAGAGGGAGGUGGAAUUCCACGUGUAGCGGUGAAAUGCGUAGAGAUGUGGAGGAACACCGAUGGCGAAGGCAGCCUCCUGGGCCAAUUCUGACGCUGAGGAGCGAAAGCCAGGGGAGCAAACGGG
rnacentral:rRNA from 1 species